rnacentral:rRNA from 1 species
CUACGGGAGGCUCCAGUGAGGAAUAUUGCACAAUGGAGGAAACUCUGAUGCAGCAACGCCGCGUGGAGGAUGACACUUUUCGGAGCGUAAACUCCUUUUAUAUAGGAAGAAGAUGACGGUACUAUAUGAAUAAGCGCCGGCUAACUCCGUGCCAGCAGCCGCGGUAAUAAGGAGGGCGCAAGCGUUACUCGGAAUCACUGGGCGUAAAGAGCGUGUAGGCGGAUUAAAAAGUCAGAAGUGAAAUCCUAUAGCUUAACUAUAGAACUGCUUCUGAAACUCUUAAUCUAGAAUAUGGGAGAGGUAGAUGGAAUUUCUGGUGUAGGGGUAAAAUCCGUAGAGAUCAGAAGGAAUACCGAUUGCGAAGGCGAUCUACUAGAACAUUAUUGACGCUGAGACGCGAAAGCGUGGGGAGCAAACAGGAUUAGAUACCCCCGUAGUC